GGACGACGCUGGCGGCGUGCCUAACACAUGCAAGUCGAGCGGGGACAUUGCGACGGAAUUGAAAUUUCGGAUGGAUAUGAAGAUGUAAUGUUCUAGCGGCGGACGGGUGAGUAACGCGUGAGCAACCUGUCCCUUACAGGGGGAUAACACAGCGAAAGUUGUACUAAUACCGCAUAAGACCACAGAGCGACAUCGCUUAGGGGUCAAAGGAGCAAUCCGGUAAGGGGUGGGCUCGCGUCCGAUUAGAUAGUUGGUGAGGUAACGGCCCACCAAGUCGACGAUCGGUAGCCGACCUGAGAGGGUGAUCGGCCACAUUGGGACUGAGACACGGCCCAAACUCCUACGGGAGGCAGCAGUGGGGAAUAUUGGGCAAAUGGGGGAAACCCUGACCCAGCAACGCCGCGUGAGGGAAGAAGGUUUUCGGAUCGUAAACCUCUGUCCUUGGUGAAGAGAAAGAGACGGUAGCCAAGGAGGAAGCCCCGGCUAACUACGUGCCAGCCGCGGC
rnacentral:rRNA from 1 species